AGCUUGGACUACAGGAAGGAAUUAAGAUCUCGUUUCCUCACUGAAAUCCAGAAAGAAAAGAUUUUCUGCUGAAGAGAGGUACAAAGGAAUUGAAAGCCAACUAAGGUGGGCAUAAACAUCGAAAAAUCUGCUUCAACUUCAAAUGUGCAAACUGCUGGAGAAGCUACAACAUUAUAUUUUGCAUGCUUAUUCUUUAAAAUAUACUCGACAUUGCUGUAUAGAUUAUACAUUUAUCCAUAACAUUGUAUAAUUCAGAGUUACCCAUCUAGAGCAAAUAUAUCCUUUAUCUUAUGCAAUCAUGAUUUAAGAGAUUUUCACUGUGAUUCUUGUGACUUUUCCACAGUUGUUGAUUCUGCAAAGCCCUCAGAUAAAUCACAACUUAACCGUGUGUAUGUAUAAAGGUAGUUCUCCCCAUGACUUCGUUAUGUAAGAAUCAGCUAUAGCUCCUUUCUGACUUUAAAGACAGCAAGAACUUUUGAGCAUAUAAUUUUCAGUUGGCUAUAAAAAUAAUUUUUAAAAAUUGUGAAAGUAAUAGGAUAAUAUUUUAGAAAAUUGAGGAUAUAGAGAAAGAAAAAAAUACCACUCUAAUAAGUAAUGUUUUACCAUUUUCAAAAUAGUUCUUCCUGUUGUUUGUUGGAGCCUCUGAAGGGACUCCAUGUACAGAAACACCCCUCCCCACUUGGUUCUGAUCAAGUUAAUAAACUAAAACAAAAAAUAAGGCAGAGGAGGUCCAAAAAUUAUCUUUACUGUUGGGAUAAGGGCUCUUGGUCUGCCAUAUGGGUUGCUAAUAUUGAAUAUUGAUUGAACAUUGAAUAUUGCUAACAUUGAGUGUGCCAGCAAUACUAGCACAGUAGGCCUCUCUUUGAAGGGUCAGACUCCUGGAAUAUCAGAGGAACAUGAGUUCCCUGAAGCCAGGACAAUCCUAAGGGUGAAUUGAGUCAAACACCCUCAGUUAUUCUUUCCAAAUUUAGCAAUCAGUUAACCCAACUGACUCCACCUUUCUAGGGCCAGUGUAAAUAAAGGGAAGAGGGGAGGUUAAGAGGAGAGCUUAGAAGAAAAUCCUUUCCACAGAAAAUGGAAAUGGGAAAAGGUGUUUUGUUUUUAUGAGUUUUUAAAAAACAAACAGAAGAACAUAUUUCUACACUCAUAUAAAGAGAACAAAGCAAGAGUUUCAAUGGAGUCACGAUUGUUGUCAUAUGAAGACAAGUGUGUAAAAAAAAGAGUUCACACAGCAGGUUUGGGACUGCUAGUCUUAGAAAUGCCUGCUUGAAAGAUUGGCCUUUGGAUGGCAUCUGGAAAUUCGGGUUUCGAGAGGGUUUUCAUCAUGACCAGAACUGAUAAGAGAAGCUCACUGUGCGUAAAUUGUUCAAACAAUAUGAAUUAUGUGGAACUCUUGCUUUCCUUCUGGGAGUUCGGAAUUUUGAUAUAUGUUAAGCAGAGAGUGCCUACACAACCGGCCCCCAAUAAAAAUCUUGAGAAGUGAAUCUCUAACGAUCUUCCUUUAACUUAUUGCUGGGAUAAUAAGUGUGUCCCAUAGGAAUCCACUGGAAGAGGGCUCUUGGAAGCUUGUGUGUGGCCUCCUCUGGACUUUGCCCCAUGGGACUUUUCCUCUGCUGAUUUUGCUUUAGGCCCUUUUGCUGUAAUAGCUCUUCACUGUGACUUUAUACGAGGACCUUUGAGGCUUCCUAGAGUAUCACUGAACUGGGAGGUGUUCUUUGAGCCCUCCAAAACAACAUGGAUAGUGUGGUUUCUAUUGUUCCUUCAGUUCCCAGUGUUAAAUCAAGUUUAGCCUAAAGCUGCCUCCUUACGUAUGUUAAGUUCGGCCUAAAGGUUUUUCUGUACACUGUGAACUAUAACCUAAAUGGAACUGUAAACAGACCAGGCUCACCUGGUCAGUAUUGUACCAUAGUUGGACCUGCAUCUACUGCAGCUCCUGCUUUAUUCUCCUUCAGCCUCCCCAACUCCUGGACCAGACGUGUAUUUCACUUUAUGAUGAAAAAACACUGGUCUUCCCUGCAGGACACACCCAUCAUCAAAGUUGGAGACUUGGAAGUGGUGAGAAAUAAGGGAAGGUUCCAAUCCAUCUUUCAUGAGUUUCAGCUCAGCCUCAGAGGUAUUGGAAGAGGCAAUCCACCAUGCGCUGUGAGCAUGCCUUUGUGUUCUUGUUGAAUGUGCCAAGAAUUUAAGCCUCCUUUUAUUUGGUCAUUUCUCAAGGUUGUGUUUAUAGCAAGAAUGCUGAAGAUGACGUAUCUCCCACUGUGACAAAGAACAAACUACUUACUGCUUAUUACAGAAGUAAUGGAUUCUCCAAACUCAGUGUUUCUCAGCUGUGAUACAGAUAUGCUGCAUGUGCAGUAUCCAUCUGAGAUUUUCUGUAAAGCCCCUGUGGGACUUGGGGAGCAAAGGGGACUAUGACAAGCAUGAUGUUCAUGCCAUUUGCUGUAUUGUGAGUAACAAAGUACUUCAUCUGUGAUCCAGGUGUCUUAUGUCUUCUGCCAACAUUCAUAAAACAAUAGAAGGUGAAUCUUUCAGCUUGCAAGUAGGGGAAUAUCCUAGCCUGACAGCAGGUUCCUGUUUGCCCUUGCUCUUUCCUCUUUGUGUCCAUCUUUCUUUCCCAACUGCCCCACCCUGUGGACUUAAGGCACUAGAUACAGAGACAAAGGAGUCACAUAGAUUGUUUAACUAGAUCCUACAACUGGGUAGGGAAAAAUUCCCAUAGUAAAUGCAUUUUAUGUAUAUUUCCUAGUGGAUUUGCUUCUCUGACCAAACCGUGACUAUUAUAGCUCCCCUCACAACCAACCUAAUCCAUUUUCUGAGAUUCCAUAUUGUUGCAAGUUCUGUAUAAACAUCAUCUUUAAUGGCAGAAGAAUAUUUCAUAUUGAGUAGAUUAGACAUACUUUAUUUAUUUAAACUUUUGACACAAAAAUAUUUGUUCAGUCUAAUUAAUCCAAGAGGAAAAGAGAUUUGUGAAAUAGAAUUAAACUUUGAAAAUAAUCUUCCCUUUAUGCAGUACUGAUUUUAUGUUAAGUAUUGGAGGAGGCCGGGCACGGUG
rnacentral:lncRNA from 1 species